rnacentral:lncRNA from 10 species
CAGUUCGAGAGCCUGGGAAGUCCAAGAUCAAGGUGCCAGCAGAUUCAGUGUGUGGUGAGAGCUCUAUUUCUGGUUUGAAGACAGCCAGCCACCUUCUUGCUAGGGGAGACAUUCAUGUUAAGAUGCAGAUGACACACACAGGAAACAGGGAAGUACAGGGUAGAAGAGGGCAGUUCCCCAGCAAAGGCCCCAACCCCAAGCCUGGAAACCCACGGCCCUAAAUAGGAAUAGACAUUCCUAUUUAGGCGGAUUGGUGCAGCAGAGAAGGAGAGAAGGGAAGGAAUGUCUGAACGUCAAGAGAAGCGCAGCUGGGGAUAGUCCAAGAGAUCAGCCACUGGAUGGCCAAAUUUCAGGGGAAGAUCAUCUUCCCAUUCCAUCCCUUUCCCAGCUCCCCAUCCAUCUCUCUGAGAGCCACCUCCACCACUCAAUAAAACCUCUGCAUUCACUAUCCUUCAAGUCCGUGUGUGACCUGAUUGUUCCUGGAUGCCGGACAAGAACCUGGGUACUAAGAGGGCACUGAGCUGGUUAACACAAGUCGUCUGCAGAUGGCAGAAAUAAAAGAGCACUAUUGGGAGUUGCCGGCACCCACCCUUAGAUGUCACCGUGGGGUUGGAGCCCAAAAAGUGCUUGCCCAGGCUCCUGCACCUGCCCGUCUGUGUGCUUCCCCUCCCAUAAGGGGUUUGAGCAUGCGCAGCGGCUGAACAGACGAGCCACACCCGUGUCACAUGUCCUGCGAGGGGGUCAGGGAACUCUCUUGUUGCACAAAGGCACUCAGACAGAAGGAGACAGCUGUGAAGAUGGGGGCAGAGAUUGGAAUUAGGCUGCCCCAAGCCAAAGAAUGCCUGGGACUAGCAGAAGCUUGAUGACAAAAGGCAGAAUCUUUCCCUACAGGCUCUGGAGGGAGCAUGGCUCUGCUCGCACCUUGAUUUUGGACUUCUAGCCUCCAGAACAAUGAGAGAAUACAUUCCUGUUAUUUUAAGCCACCCAGUUUGAGA